AUGUGGGUAAGAAUGGUGAAGAACAUCCAGUCCCCAAAGAGGACACAGGCUGAAGUAGUAAAGGGAGGCACAAGAAGAGGUCAUGUGAAUGCACAGCAGGAAGGUAGAUCUGCAAACCAGAAAGAGAGCUCUCACCAGAACAAGACCAUGCUGGUAUCCCGAUCUGAGACUUCCAGCCUCCAGAACAGUGAGAAAAUAAAUUUCAGCUGUUUAAGUCACCCAGUCUAUGAUAUUUUAUUAAAACAGUCUGAACUAACUAAGACACACACUCC
rnacentral:lncRNA from 1 species